GUAGAAACGUGAGCUACUACAGGAGAUUCCUGAUCUGGACUGCGUCUUCGGGUUCCCCGGUGUCUGUAGUCAGGUUGAGGAUGGCAAGACUGCAGAGCCCCAGAGAUGGUGCCUGAAGAGGAGGCUGAGGAACAGAAUCCAUUUGCUUAGAGACUGGGCGCCGGCUAAGGGAGCCUGUGCGGCUGACACCUGGCUGUGGCUAAAGAGGGGUAACCCUACCCGGUAAGUGACCGCUGUUCAUGAGGAAGUGGGGGCAGGGUGCCUUCCCAGCAGGUCCCCAUUCUGGUCCAGCAGUGGCUGCACUCAUAACCUGAACUAGAAGUAACCCAGUUACUUUGCAGCCACUACGGCUCAUCUGUGGAGGGUUGUUGGCUGGGGCAUCAUCUCCCUCAGAUCCCUCAGGGGUUGCUGCAUGCAGAACUGCUCAAAGCAGUCUGUGCUGGGUGUUCCCAUCUUCAUUUAAAAUGUAUCUAAAUAAAUAAGACAAAUGGGGGCAAUGCACAAUAUAGGGAAUAUAGUUAAUGUAACAACUUUGGUGACAGAUGGCAGCUAAGAUGUGUGGUGAGUGGAGAUCACUUCACUUCCUCCUGUGCAAAUGCUGAUGCCUAGGCUGCAUAGCUGAAACUAAUAUAAGAGGGUAUGUCAAGUGCACUUGAAUAUAAACAAAAAAUCCCAAGAAAAUUCACUUUCUUUAAAUAAAAAUGUUUCUGUGUGUAUGGAAAAAUCCAGAGAAAACAGUAUCAAAAUAAGUGGUUACCUUUUGGUAGUGGAGAACAUAGGAUUUCUUUUUUCCUAAGAAUAAACAUGUAUGACAUUACUUAGAAAAAUGUACAGAACAAGGGAGUGGGCAGGGGAGUGGCGGAGCGGGAUGUAGACGCUGCUUCGCUAGAGACCCCAGAGGCCUUUGUGCCAGCGAAGAGGCUAAGCCAAGAACCCGAGGCCACCCGGCAGGUGCCUACCGGGCUGCAGAGGUCCGGGGCCUGACUCCAUCAGCCCAGAUUCCUGAUGUGGGAAUGCUCACCUUCUGUGCUGUUCAUAUCAUCUACAAUCAUCCCCUUUGUUGUCUCAUUCUUUAAAAAAGCUUUCUGUGAUGAGCAGCUGGGCUGAGGGGACUCAGAAGAAAGGCGGGGGUUGUAUCCCUCCGUGGGCUGGAGUUUGAAAGACACAACGGCCUAAACCCUAAGGCCAGGGUUUGGUGGCAGUAGCAGGAAGUCCAAAAGCAAAGGAGAUGCAUCUCAGGGGGAAAAGUUGGGCUCAUUCGCAUAAUUAAACGUUUCUUCCUUGGACACUCUCCUUCCAGAGGGCCUUAAUUUUAUUUUUUGUUUUCAAUCAAACCUGGAGGGCCGUAUUUUAAGUAAGCUGUUGCUGAAUCACGUCACAUUGGCACCACCAUAGACAUCCACCUGGGUAACCACACCUUCACCAAAACCAGGCUCCCCUGGCCCUCAGUGGCGCAGGCACUGCCUCGGCCCCUCCACAGUGUGACUUGCAGCUCUCAGAAAGGAAAAGCAUCACCUCCCCUUUGAGAGGUCAGGGCCCCUGGGGCAUGGCCGCUGGCUAUGAGGCAGGCAGACCUCACCUUUUCAGGAGAGGCAUGGAGUCUGGGAGAGCAGAGCUCAGGAGAUUCCUCGUACAUCCCUCAUACGCUGUCCUCGGAAACGAAUGAACCAAGCUGACUGAAUCAGGGACCUGGUUCCCAGACCUGGGGCAAUCCUGAACCCAGUCUGAAUUCAAGGUCUGCCUCUAAAGUAAAGAUUUCAGUCUUUGGGAAAUUGGUGUGGGGGGUGGGGUGGGGAAUCAAGGAAGGGACCUUAUUCACAGGCUCGGCCCAAAGUGCCUGUUGCCAAGGGAGGCAGCAGCUUUGAGGGCAGAAAAUUUGAUGUUCAUCCGGUGACUGUUGUGAUCCCUGCGGCUAUAUGAGGGUGAGUCACAGGGAAAGAAUCAGAGAUGUCUGAUCCUUUCUCUGCAGGAGAAAGGGCAUCGGCACCCCUGGGCACCAGGCGAGGCGGCAGCAGGAAGCCAGGUGGAGACCCCCAUGGGGAGAAACAGUCACUCCUCUGAGAGACGUUUUUCAGCAAGACAGAAAUUUUUAUUGCACCUUGUGGAAGUACAGACACAAAUCUUUGAAAGGCAGUACCAUUUUAUUUAGUGUUGUAGGACAUUUUAUGCUACUUCUUAAGAACAAAACCAAAGAAAUUCAAAAUUCCCAAAGUAACAAGGCAGGAAAUACUUCUAUAACCCCAAAAGACCGGGCAGUCCUUCAACCAGAGGGAAGAAGAGGUCAAGUUAUAGCUGACGUAAUAGAUACCGAGAAACCACCAAGGGGAGGCUGGUAUGGGUACUAGGAGGGUAAGUUCUCCACUUAAGGCAAUAAAUCUUUCAGCCUCGAGGGAUCUAUCAUUAAUUAAUACUAAC